rnacentral:rRNA from 1 species
GACGAACGCUGGCGGCGUGCUUAACACAUGCAAGUCGAACGGAAAGGCCCUGCUUUUGUGGGGUGCUCGAGUGGCGAACGGGUGAGUAACACGUGAGUAACCUGCCCUUGACUUUGGGAUAACUUCAGGAAACUGGGGCUAAUACCGGAUAGGAGCUCCUGCUGCAUGGUGGGGGUUGGAAAGUUUCGGCGGUUGGGGAUGGACUCGCGGCUUAUCAGCUUGUUGGUGGGGUAGUGGCUUACCAAGGCUUUGACGGGUAGCCGGCCUGAGAGGGUUACCGGGCACAUUGGGACUGAGAGACGGCGCAGACUCCUACGUGAGGCAGCAGUGGGGAAUAUUGCACAAUGGGCGGAAGCCUGAUGCAGCAACGCCGCGUGCGGGAUGACGGCCUUCGGGUUGUAAACCGCUUUCGCCUGUGACGAAGCGUGAGUGACGGUAAUGGGUAAAGAAGCACCGGCUAACUACGUG